rnacentral:lncRNA from 1 species
AUGGCUGCCAAAGUGUUUGAGUCCAUUGGAAAGUUCGGCCUGGGGUUAGCAGUUGCAGGAGGCAUGGUGAACUCUGCUUUGUAUAAUGUGGAUGCUGGGCACAGAGCUGUCAUCUUUGACCAAUUCCAUGGCAUACAGGUCACUGUGAUAGGGGAAGUGACUCACUUCUUCAUCCCUUGGGUACCAAAGCCAAUUAUCUUUGACUGUCACUCUCGACCACAGAAGGUACCUGUUGUCGUUGGGAGCAGACUUGCAGAUCGUCAACAUCACACUGCGCAUCCUCUUCUGGCUGGUGGCCAGGCACCUUCCUCAUAUCUACACCAACAUUGGCGAGGACUAUGAUGAGCAGGUGCUGCCGUCUAUCACCACAGAGAUCCUCAAGUCGGUGGUGGGUCGAUUCGAUGCUGGAGAGUUGGUGACCUAGAGAGCUGGUCUCCAGACAGGUGAGCGAUGGCCUCACAGAGCGAGCAGCAACAUCCUGGGUGAUGUGUCCCCCUGACACAUCUGACCUUCAGGAAAGAGUUCACAGAGAAAGUAGAAGCCAAACAAGUGGCUCAGCAGAAAGCAGAGAGAGCCAGAUUUGUGGUGGAAAAGGCUGAGCGCACCAGAAGGCAGCCAUCAUCUCUGCUGAGGGUGACUCCAAGGCAGCUGAGUUGAUCACUAACUUGCUGGUCACAGCAGGUGCUGGCCUGAUUGGGCUGUGAAAGCUGGAAGCUGCUGAGGACAUUGCAUACCAGCUCUCCCUCUCUCAUCUCCUACCUGCCAGCGGGGCACUCUGUGCUCCUCCAGCUUCCCCAGUGAAGCCAGCUGGGCCACGGCCUCCAUCAUUCUAAAUUCCUUUUGCCCCUAGACCCAGAAAUCACUGUGAAAUUUAAUCAUUGGCUUAAAGUGAAGGAAAUAAAGGUAAAGUCACUUCAGAUCUCUAAUUAUCAAACGAAGCUUUUGUUGUUACACUUUUUACCCUCUUUCAUAUCCAAAUUGCCAAGGGCCUAGGCAGACUGGCCUUUCACCCGAGGUGUGGGCAGUUUGCAGAAGAAAGACCGGGCAGCUUGUGCGGUGGAUGGGGAGCCUGCUGGCAUCCUGGAGCCUCCGUUCUGCCAUGUAUUGAACAUUUUAAGACAGUAGCCCACACACUUGAACCAAAAGGCAAGCUCUCAAGUUUUUUCCAGCCAUAUGAACCUGGACAGAUGCAGCUGGGGAGGGCCAGAGGAAGAGGUCUAUCUCAACUGUAAGGCCUAUUCCCUCUUAACCAUGACCAGCGGAAGUAGGUGUGUGCGUGGAGUGAAGAAUCUGCCCAUCAACGUGGGUGGGCCUAAUAUUACUGUCCCCACCAAAGUCCUAAAACCUGGAUGGACUUGGACGGGACAAGAGGUCUGGACUGAGAUGUGAUUCCCAUGAAAACUUCCUCUUCACCCCCCCAUCCCCCAACAUCGGUCCACUCAAAUACCUAAUGGGAUUCCAAUGUGAAGGAUUGCAUCCUGCUGGAGCUGAGCACACCUGCCUUCCUGCUCCCUCUCUCUGAGAGAUUGCCCUACCUUUCCAAGGGCUCUGAGCCAGUGAUCUUAAGGAAGCAAUCAAGGAAAGAGAACACAGUGUAAGCAGCUGUCAAUAAAUGACACCCAGACCUUC